rnacentral:rRNA from 1 species
AUUGAACGCUGGCGGCAUGCCUUACACAUGCAAGUCGAACGGCAGCACGGGAGCAAUCCUGGUGGCGAGUGGCGAACGGGUGAGUAAUAUAUCGGAACGUGCCCAGUCGUGGGGAUAACGUAGCGAAAGCUACGCUAAUACCGCAUACGAUCUAUGGAUGAAAGCGGGGGAUCGCAAGACCUCGCGCGAUUGGAGCGGCCGAUAUCAGAUUAGGUAGUUGGUGAGGUAAAGGCUCACCAAGCCGACGAUCUGUAGCUGGUCUGAGAGGACGACCAGCCACACUGGGACUGAGACACGGCCCAGACUCCUACGGGAGGCGGCAGUGGGGAAUUUUGGACAAUGGCGCAAGCCUGAUCCAGCAAUGCCGCGUGCAGGAUGAAGGCCUUCGGGUUGUAACUAGCUUUGUUACGGUAACGAACGGUAGAGC